UCCCUUUUAUCUCUCUUCCUCUAAGCUCUCCCUCUUACCACAAAUUGCUUUACCGUUUCUGCGGUUUAUCAUCACUAACGUUGACCCAGAUGGGGAUUUGCUUGAAUCUGAGUUCUGGAUGUUGAAGCCAAAGAGCUUUAGAGGUGUGGUGGUGAUGGUAUUUGGUUUUGAAGGAUAAUCAAUCUCAGCCAUGAGAGAGAAGAUUAGUUCAGAGAUUAGAGAUACAGAUAAGUUGGAAGAGGUCUUUUUUUCUUUUUUCUUUUUUCUUUUUUAAUUUUUUAAUUUUAUUAUCA